rnacentral:rRNA from 1 species
CCGGAGCUAACGCGUUAAGUCGACCGCCUGGGGAGUACGGUCGCAAGAUUAAAACUCAAAGGAAUUGACGGGGACCCGCACAAGCGGUGGAUGAUGUGGAUUAAUUCGAUGCAACGCGAAAAACCUUACCUACCCUUGACAUGUCUGGAAAGCCGAAGAGAUUUGGCCGUGCUCGCAAGAGAACCGGAACACAGGUGCUGCAUGGCUGUCGUCAGCUCGUGUCGUGAGAUGUUGGGUUAAGUCCCGCAACGAGCGCAACCCUUGUCAUUAGUUGCUACGCAAGAGCACUCUAAUGAGACUGCCGGUGACAAACCGGAGGAAGGUGGGGAUGACGUCAAGUCCUCAUGGCCCUUAUGGGUAGGGCUUCACACGUCAUACAAUGGUCGGGACAGAGGGUCGCCAACCCGCGAGGGGGAGCCAAUCUCAGAAACCCGAUCGUAGUCCGGAUCGCAGUCUGCAACUCGACUGCGUGAAGUCGGAAUCGCUAGUAAUCGCGGAUCAGAAUGUCGCGGUGAAUACGUUCCCGGGUCUUGUACACACCGCCCGUCACACCAUGGGAGUGGGUUUCACCAGAA